GGGCUCCACCUCGCCAACUAUUCAUCCAGGUCUGACUCACCCCCUGUCAGCCAAGAGAAGAGCCUGCCACCGCGCACUGAGACUAGCUGGGGCUUGUUUGCCUCCCCCUUCAUCAUCAUCAUCAUCAUCUUCAUCAUCAUCAUCAUCAACCUCAGCGAUGUGAUGGACGACAGAUGAAGAUGAGUGGACACAUCUGGACAGAGGUGUGAAAUGAGAUGUCUGAAGAACACAAAGAGGGAAGACAGGUCGUGUCUCAGGCUGACAGAUGUCUCUGAGACAUCCCACCUCUGGAAGACAGAGUGAGAACAGAGGCUGGGAAACAGACAGACCUCUGUGCUGGUCAGAGAAUAAAGAGACUGGUUUUCUUACAUCGCUCCAGAUCCUUUUCUCCUUCUGCUCCAAGUCAGAGAGUUUAAAUAUCCUCAGUGAACAUCUGUCCCAGGAUCCGUGUGCGGGACUGAGGAGCUCCCACAGAAAACGGGUGUCACACACUCUCUCUCUCUCUCCCUCUCACUCUCACUCUCUCUUUCACUCACUCUGAGACAGAGAGGGGAGGUGGGGGAGGAGGCUCUGACUGACACGAUGGGAGCCUGCCCACUGCGAUGCGUUCAGGAACACCUCUGGAAAUCCUAUCGUUUUGUAACAAUCAUUCGGUCAGGAGUAAAUACAAAAACAAUGUAGUGGAAGAAAGCUACUCACUAUAUUUACUCAAUGACAAUAUUUGAGUACACAACUUUGAGCUAAUCGAGUAUUUCCAACUCACGGUUCUUCAUCUUUGUGUUGCACUGCAUUCUCAACGCUUUAUUCAGCAUUCAUGUCUUUGUUUAUAAAUGAUUUAACUUUGCCGAUUUGGAUUUAACAUGUGCUUUAAAUUGCAUUCUAAUCGCACAGUAUUGCAUUAGAAUAGAAAUAAAGUGCAUUUCCUCUACAA